UACAGAGGGGGCAAGCGUUGUUCGGAAUUACUGGGCGUAAAGGGCGCGUAGGCGGCCUUCUAAGUCGAACGUGAAAUCCCCGGGCUCAACCCGGGAACUGCGUCCGAUACUGGAAGGCUUGAAUCCGGGAGAGGGAUGUGGAAUUCCAGGUGUAGCGGUGAAAUGCGUAGAUAUCUGGAGGAACACCGGUGGCGAAGGCGACAUCCUGGACCGGUAUUGACACUGAGGCGCGAAAGCCAGGGGAGCAAACGGG
rnacentral:rRNA from 1 species